AGAGUUUGAUCCUGGCUCAGGAUGAACGCUGGCGGCGUGCCUAAUACAUGCAAGUCGAGCGAACAGAUAAGGAGCUUGCUCCUUUGAAGUUAGCGGCGGACGGGUGAGUAACACGUGGGUAACCUACCUAUAAGACUGGGAUAACUUCGGGAAACCGGAGCUAAUACCGGAUAACAUUUAGAACCGCAUGGUUCUAAAGUGAAAGAUGGUUUUGCUAUCACUUAUAGAUGGACCCGCGCCGUAUUAGCUAGUUGGUAAGGUAACGGCUUACCAAGGCGACGAUACGUAGCCGACCUGAGAGGGUGAUCGGCCACACUGGAACUGAGACACGGUCCAGACUCCUACGGGAGGCAGCAGUAGGGAACCUUCCGCAAUGGGCGAAAGCCUGACGGAGCAACGCCGCGUGAGUGAUGAAGGGUUUCGGCUCGUAAAACUCUGUUAUUAGGGAAGAACAAAUGUGUAAGUAACUGUGCACAUCUUGACGGUACCUAAUCAGAAAGCCACGGCUAACUACGUG
rnacentral:rRNA from 1 species